GAUGAAGAACGUAGCGAAAUGCGAUAAGUAAUGUGAAUUGCAGAAUUCAGUGAAUCAUCGAAUCUUUGAACGCACAUUGCGCCCGCCAGUACUCUGGCGGGCAUGCCUGUCCGAGCGUCAUUUCAACCCUCAGGGCCCUCCAGCAGGGCGCUGGUGUUGGGGAUCGGCAGUCCCAGCGGCUGCCGUCCCUGAAAUGUAGUGGCGGUCCCACCGUGACCUCCCCUGUGCAGUACAUCGCUCGCAGAGGGACAGCGGUGCGGCCACGCCGUAAAACGCCCAACUCUUCAAGGUUGACCUCGGAUCAGGUAGGACUACCCGCUGAACUUAAGCAUAUCAAUAAGCGGAGGA
rnacentral:misc_RNA from 1 species